rnacentral:rRNA from 1 species
UACAGAGGUCUCAAGCGUUGUUCGGAUUCAUUGGGCGUAAAGGGUGUGUAGGUGGCGCCGUAAGUCGGGUGUGAAAUUUCGGAGCUUAACUCCGAAACUGCAUUCGAUACUGCGGUGCUUGAGGACUGGAGAGGAGACUGGAAUUCAUGGUGUAGCAGUGAAAUGCGCAGAUAUCAGGAGGAACACCGAUGGCGAAGGCAGGUCUCUGGGCAUUAACUGACGCUGAGGAGCGAAAGCAUGGGGAGCGAGCAGG